rnacentral:lncRNA from 1 species
UGUUCGCACAUUUAGAGCAUCAUAGCCCUUUAAAGUGGGGACGAUUGCAGGGGGCCGUUACCCGCACGGUUCGUGGGCAUCAGAGAAGGCAUCUGAUGAAAUUCAGCAUUCAUUCUCAUGGAAAGUUUGACAAGGUAAUGACAUAGAAACAGAUGGACACCUCCCUCCGUGGCAAAGAUCCCUCCCUCGGCCCCACACCGGCAUCGUUUGAUGGGGAAACAUAUAUUUAAUCCGUAAGACCAGAGCGAGACCAGCUGUCCACACCAGCACUAUUGCACCGCAUCGCUGCAGAGGUGCUGGCUGUCAGCAAGAAAAGAGGAGAAACCAGAGGUCUUCACAUGGCAAAGAGAGAGGAUGGAAGAAGUCACAAGAGAAGGUCACACCCACCUGACAAGAACAACCUUCAAAACCAUAAUCUUGGAGCCUCUGGGUCACACACAGUCACCCCUUUGGCUGAGUGAAGCCGACCGCCAUUCUUGAGACACUGUGCUCCUCACCUGCCCCGUUCCCCUUAACAUCAUGGCAAUGAGAGCUCAGGAUUCGCCUGGGG